GAUGAACGCUGGCGGCGUGCUUAACACAUGCAAGUCGAACGAAGCACUUUAUUUGAUUUCCUUCGGGACUGAUUAUUUUGUGACUGAGUGGCGGACGGGUGAGUAACGCGUGGGUAACCUGCCUUGUACAGGGGGAUAACAGUUGGAAACGGCUGCUAAUACCGCAUAAGCGCACAGCAUCGCAUGAUGCAGUGUGAAAAACUCCGGUGGUAUAAGAUGGACCCGCGUUGGAUUAGCUAGUUGGUGAGGUAACGGCCCACCAAGGCGACGAUCCAUAGCCGACCGGAGAGGGUGACCGGCCACAUUGGGACUGAGACACGGCCCAAACUCCUACGGGAGGCAGCAGUGGGGAAUAUUGCACAAUGGGCGAAAGCCUGAUGCAGCGACGCCGCGUGAGCGAAGAAGUAUUUCGGUAUGUAAAGCUCUAUCAGCAGGGAAGAUAAUGACGGUACCUGACUAAGAAGCACCGGCUAAAUACGUG
rnacentral:rRNA from 1 species